GAUGAACGCUAGCGGGAGGCUUAAUACAUGCAAGUCGAGGGGUAACAUGGGACUUCGGUUCUGAUGACGACCGGCGCACGGGUGAGUAACGCGUACACGACCUACCUUAUACUGGGGGACAUAUACUGGAAACGGAGUAAAUACCCCAUGUGAUUAUUAAUUCAAUUUUAUAAUUAAAGGUUUCGGCCGGUAUAAGAUGGGUGUGCGUCCCAUUAGGUAGUUGGUGAGGUAGAGGCUCACCAAGCCGACGAUGGGUAGGGGGCGUGAGAGCGUGAUCCCCCACACGGGUACUGAGACACGGACCCGACUCCUACGGGAGGCAGCAGUAAGGAAUAUUGGACAAUGGAGGCAACUCUGAUCCAGCCAUCCUGCGUGUAGGAAGACGGCCCUAUGGGUUGUAAACUACUUUUAUCAGGGAAGAAAAGUUUGCAUUUAUGCAGAUCUGACGGUACCUGAGGAAUAAGCACCGGCUAACUCCG
rnacentral:rRNA from 1 species